rnacentral:sRNA from 1 species
AGUUGAGGCCACUGAUUGGCCCAUGAACUCGCAAGUGUAGGUAGUGUGCUACAUGAGAGGCAAGUUCUCGCUGACACCACAAGGGUCCCCGGCCCAAUGAGUGGAGUUGGAU